rnacentral:rRNA from 1 species
UGGGGAAUAUUGCACAAUGGGCGCAAGCCUGAUGCAGCAACGCCGCGUGAACGAUGAAGGUCUUCGGAUCGUAAAGUUCUGUUGCAGGGGAAGAUAAUGACGGUACCCUGUGAGGAAGCCCCGGCUAACUACGUGCCAGCAGCCGCGGUAAUACGUAGGGGGCUAGCGUUAUCCGGAUUUACUGGGCGUAAAGGGUGCGUAGGUGGUCUUUCAAGUCGGUGGUUAAAGGCUACGGCUCAACCGUAGUUAGCCUCCGAAACUGGAAGACUUGAGUGCAGGAGAGGAAAGUGGAAUUCCCAGUGUAGCGGUGAAAUGCGUAGAUAUUGAGAGGAACACCAGUAGCGAAGGCGGCUUUCUGGACUGCAACUGACACUGAGGCACGAAAGCGUGGGUAGCAAACAGG